rnacentral:misc_RNA from 1 species
UGCACAUCAACCCUGACCCCUUUAUUUUCGUGCACUCCUUUUGGAGUUAAAUUAUGUUGCAUGGUCAUUGUUGAAGGAGUUGGAUCAUCAGUUGCUUCCCCCUCUUCUUGUGACAGAAAGUACUUCCUUUUACGUUGUUUACGUUGUCUUUUACAGGCUUUAGGGAAAUUGAUUUCUUUGGUGUUUGAGGCGAAACCCAGUGCCUUCAAAAAAUCAUCUUUAUUUUUCACAAGACCCACCGUAGCUUUACAUUUCAUUGCCUCUCUCCAUGUCAAUUCAACAACUUCGGAAUAGUUUUUAAAGGAAAUGUUGAGGGCCG